rnacentral:rRNA from 1 species
UACGUAGGGUGCAAGCGUUGUUCGGAAUUACUGGGCGUAAAGCGCGCGUAGGCGGAUUGGAAAGUCGAUUGUGAAAGCCCUGGGCUCAACCUGGGAAUUGCAGUCGAAACUUCCAAUCUUGAAUGCUUGAGAGGAUGGCGGAAUUCCCGGCGUAGUAGUGAAAUACGUAGAUAUCGGGAAGAACACCUGAGGCGAAGGCGGCUAUCUGGCGAUGCAUUGACGCUGAGGCGCGAAAGCGUGGGGAGCAAACAGG